CCUACGGGGGGCAGCAGUAGGGAAUCUUCCACAAUGGGCGAAAGCCUGAUGGAGCAACGCCGCGUGGGUGAAGAAGGUCUUCGGAUCGUAAAACCCUGUUGUUAGAGAAGAAAGUGCGUGAGAGUAACUGUUCACGUUUCGACGGUAUCUAACCAGAAAGCCACGGCUAACUACGUGCCAGCAGCCGCGGUAAUACGUAGGUGGCAAGCGUUAUCCGGAUUUAUUGGGCAUAAAGGGAACGCAGGCGGUCUUUUAAGUCUGAUGUGAAAGCCUUCGGCUUAACCGGGGUAGUGCAUUGGAAACUGGGAGACUGGAGUGCAGAAGAGGAGAGUGGAACUCCAUGUGUAGCGGUGAAAUGCGUAGAUAUAUGGAAGAACACCAGUGGCGAAAGCGGCUCUCUGGUCUGUAACUGACGCUGAGGUUCGAAAGCGUGGGUAGCAAACAGGAUUAGAUACCCCGGUAGUC
rnacentral:rRNA from 1 species